CGUGUGUAGGCGGCUAUGUAAGUCGGAUGUGAAAGCCCCAGGCUCAACCUGGGAAGUGCACUCGAUACUGCGUAGCUUGAGUAUCGGAGAGGUUGGUGGAAUUCUCGGUGUAGAGGUGAAAUUCGUAGAUAUCGAGAGGAACACCGGUGGCGAAGGCGGCCAACUGGACGAAUACUGACGCUGAGACACGAAAGCGUGGGGAGCAAACAGGAUUAGAUACCCUGGUAGUCCACGCCGUAAACGAUGGGUGCUAGGUGUCACGGGCUUUGACUCCUGUGGUGCCGUAGCAAACGCAUUAAGCACCCCGCCUGGGAAGUACGGCCGCAAGGCUAAAACUCAAGGGAAUUGA
rnacentral:rRNA from 1 species